AGGUGUCUCAAAUGCCAACUGCCAAACAUAAUCAUGGGUUUGAAUAUUGUGGUAUAGGUGGACUUUACAAAUUUUUUACUUUGUUGGCUACUCAAGGUUGGGCAUUUAGCAUCCCCCCCAUCUAACUGCUGUAAAAGUGCCUAUAGUUUUGUAUUAUGUCAUCAGAUGUGGUCAGGGAUGUCUCUUUCCUUGUAGAGUUGAAAUUAGUCGAUGGAGUUGGUGCUACAUUUAUAAAAUCAUGAAUUGGUUGCAUCAUGUUUAGAAGUAUUGUGCUGCUAUCCCUGCCAGUAUUGACCAAAUACAAAAAUUUUCCCUUUUAUAGGAAUUUUUUUUUAAUAUGAAGAUUUAUUGUUUGCUGAGUUUUCUCUAGCCAUAGAAGGAUGAGCAUCUCUGGAAAAACUAAGCCAAAAUCAGAUUCAGGAGAUCUAGUAGUUCAUAGGAUGUUGCUAAAGGAUAUAGAGGAAGCAAAACAAUUGGAGAAUUGUGGCA
rnacentral:misc_RNA from 1 species